ensembl:ncRNA asRNA:CR43460 antisense RNA:CR43460
AAAAACGUUAAAAAUAUCACAAGGAAAACACGCACAACCGUUGCGCAGGAGCAGCAGUGGAAAACUGACUGAUGGACACGGAAAAUCUCGGCAGGCAGAAGGAUUUAGGAGCGCUGCAGAUGACAGCAAACAAUGGACCAGGAAAAUGUUGGCCAGGAGUGGAAAAUUGACAAACAAUGGGUCAGUCAGCCAGUCGCUGAGCGGAGGGUGAAGUCGCCAACCAGACCGAGGGAAGAAGAAGAAGCAGCGACGGCCACGGCGGCAUCAAUUUAAUUUAAAUAAUGUGAACUUUCAUGCCAAUGAAAAUGAUUUCAAAAGAGAAACUCAACGCAGUCCAACUCCCAAAACAAACUCGACAACUUCACUUCCGCUACAAAUGCAACAGAGGCAACAAACAACGUUCAAAACAACAACACAAACAACAUCUUGAACCACGAAAAACAACAAUGAUGACACCCACCCAACCGAGGAAAAAGGGUUAACUUUGGGCACAGGGUAAAACUAAUUGGCGGUUAGGGGUUAAGGUUAAAAAACUAUCAACUCGGAUAGAUGGCAAUUUAAGCCCCUAAGUAUAGAUUAUUAAUAUAUGUAAAUAUGUCAUAUGUAAGUUGAAAAUAGGGAUUAUAUUCUUAAUUAAAAGAAUAUUUCACUAUAUUCAAAAAUGUGUUAGGAAAACCAGGAAUCUAGCUAUAUCAUAAAUUAAAUGUUGUUCUGUAACUAUAAUAAAUCUAUAU